GAGAUUGAUCGUCUGGCGUAUGGACCUUCUGACUUUUAAUCAGUGGGUCGCAGGUUCGAAUCCUGCACGGCUCACCA
rnacentral:tRNA from 1 species